GGCUUUGAAGUAUAUAUUACGUUGAAUUGCAAAUUCAAAGAAGCAGCUGCGUAGGUUGCCAAGGCUU
rnacentral:tRNA from 1 species